GUCGAGCGGGAUCCAUCCAGUAGCAAUACUGGUGAAGAUCUAGCGGCGAACGGGUGAGUAACACGUGAGAAACCUGCCCCGAACUCUGGGAUAACACGAGGAAACCCGUGCUAAUACCGGAUACCUUCUUUUGGCCGCAUGGUCAGAUGAAGAAAGAUUUAUCGGUUUGGGAGGGUCUCGCGGCCUAUCAGCUAGUUGGCGGGGUAAUGGCCCACCAAGGCAUCGACGGGUAGCUGGUCUGAGAGGACGAUCAGCCACACUGGGACUGAGACACGGCCCAGACUCCUACGGGAGGCAGCAGUGGGGAAUCUUGCGCAAUGGGCGAAAGCCUGACGCAGCAACGCCGCGUGCGGGAUGAAGGCCUUCGGGUUGUAAACCGCUUUCAGCAGGGAAGAAAAUGACGGUACCUGCAGAAGAAGCCCCGGCCAACUACGUGCCAGCAGCCGCGGUAACACGUAGGGGGCGAGCGUUGUCCGGAUUUAUUGGGCGUAAAGAGCUCGUAGGCGGUUCGGUAAGUCGGGUGUGAAACCUCCAGGCUCAACCUGGAGACGCCACCUGAUACUGCUGUGACUAGAGUCCGGUAGGGGAGUGUGGAACUCCUGGUGUAGCGGUGAAAUGCGCAGAUAUCAGGAAGAACACCAGCGGCGAAGGCGGCACUCUGGGCCGGUACUGACGCUGAGGAGCGAAAGCGUGGGUAGCAAACAGGAUUAGAUACCCUGGUAGUCCACGCCGUAAACGUUGGGCACUAGGUGUGGGUCUCAACCAACGAGAUCCGUGCCGCAGCUAACGC
rnacentral:rRNA from 1 species